AUUGAACGCUGGCGGCAGGCCUAACACAUGCAAGUCGAGCGGAGCGGCGGACGGGUGAGUAAUGCCUAGGAAUCUGCCUGGUAGUGGGGGAUAACGUCCGGAAACGGGCGCUAAUCCCGCAUACUAUCAGAUGAGCCUAGGUCGGAUUAGCUAGUUGGUGGGGUAAAGGCCUACCAAGGCGACGAACCGUAACUGGUCUGAGAGGAUGAUCAGUAGCACUGGAACUGAGACACGGUCCAGACUCCUACGGGAGGCAGCAGUGGGGAAUAUGGGACAAUGGGCGAAUGCCUGAUCCAGCCAUGCCGCGUGUGUGAAGAAGGUCUUCGGAUUGUAGGGUACUUUCAGCGGGGAGGCGUUACCCGCAGAAGAAGCACCGGCUAACUCCGUGCCAGCAGCCGCGGUAAUAC
rnacentral:rRNA from 1 species